AAAAGACGAAGAAAGACAAGAAAGGGAAGAAAGAAAGGAGGAAAUAGCACGUUUUUGCAAUACAAUUUACUUCUCAUUUUAUAUUCUAUUGCAGCUAUAUAUUGCUCCCUCAAAUUAUGUUUAUAAUCAUCACAUAAAAUAUAUUUACGGUUACGGCACCUAUCGCUAGGUUCGCUCAUGGUCACAUUAAUCGAUCUCGAGGACAGAUCUGUCGCUGAACAAAAAAUGUUCACUUUUCAUACAGUAAAUGACUUGAAUAACAAAAA
rnacentral:ribozyme from 15 species